rnacentral:rRNA from 1 species
GACGAACGCUGGCGGCGUGCCUAAUACAUGCAAGUCGAACGCAGUGGGGACGGUUGAUUAACACGUGGGUAACCUCCCAUCAGAGGGCAUAAAACUUAGAAACAGCUGCUAAACCCAUAUUGAUUGCUGGACCAGCGGUGCAUUAGCUAAUUGGUGAGGUAACGGCUCACCAAGGCUACGAUGCAUAGCUGCACUGAGAGGCUGAUCGGCCACACUGGGACUGAGACACGGUCCAGACUCCUACGGGAGGCAGCAGUAGGGAAGAGUCGGCAAUGGACGAAAGCCUGAUGGAGCAACGCCGCGUGAGUGAAGAAGGUGUUCGGAUCGUAAAACUCUGUUGUUAGAGAAGCGGUAUCUAAACAGAAAGCAACGGCUAACUACGUGCCAGCAGCCGCGGUAAUUC